rnacentral:rRNA from 1 species
CCUACGGGGGGCAGCAGUGAGGAAUAUUGGUCAAUGGACGAGAGUCUGAACCAGCCAAGUAGCGUGAAGGAUGACUGCCCUAUGGGUUGUAAACUUCUUUUAUAUGGGAAUAAAAUGUUCCACGUGUGGGAUUUUGUAUGUACCCUAUGAAUAAGGAUCGGCUAACUCCGUGACAGCAGCCGCGGUAAUACGGAGGAUCCGAGCGUUAUCCGGAUUUAUUGGGUUUAAAGGGAGCGUAGGUGGAUUGUUAAGUCAGUUGUGAAAGUUUGCGGCUCAACCGUAAAAUUGCAGUUGAAACUGGAAGUCUUGAGUACUGUAGAGGUGGACGGAAUUCGUGGUGUAGCGGUGAAAUGCUUAGAUAUCACGAAGAACUCCGAUUGCGAAGGCAGCUCGCUGGACUGCAACUGACACUGAGGCGCGAAAGUGUGGGUAGCAAACAGGAUUAGAUACCCUGGUAGUC